rnacentral:rRNA from 1 species
CCCUUAGAUGUUCUGGGCCGCACGCGCGCUACACUGACGAAUGCAACGAGCUUAUAACCUUGGCCGAAAGGUCUGGGUAAUCUCCAAAUUUCGUCGUGAUGGGGAUAGAUUAUUGCAAUUAUUAAUCUUCAACGAGGAAUGCCUAGUAAGCGCAAGUCAUCAGCUUGAGUUGAUUACGUCCCUGCCCUUUGUACACACCGCCCGUCGCUCCUACCGAUUGAAUGGUCCGGUGAAGCGUUCGGACCGUGGCCUUUGGACGGUUCGCCGUCUGUUGGCUGCGGGAAGUUCGUUAAACCUUAUCAUUUAGAGGAAGGAGAAGUCGUAACA